UACAGAGGGUGCGAGCGUUAAUCGGAAUUACUGGGCGUAAAGCGCGCGUAGGCGGCUUUGCAAGUCGGGUGUGAAAUCCCCAGGCUUAACCUGGGAACUGCACUCGAGACUGCAUUACUAGAGUAUGAGAGAGGGAAGUGGAAUUUCCGGUGUAGCGGUGAAAUGCGUAGAUAUCUGGAGGAACACCGGUGGCGAAGGCGGCAUCCUGGACCGGUAUUGACGCUGAUGCGCGAAAGCCAGGGGAGCAAACGGG
rnacentral:rRNA from 1 species